rnacentral:rRNA from 1 species
AGCGUAUAUUUAAGUUGCUGCAGUUAAAAAGCUCGUAGUUGGAUUUCGGGCGGUCGACGACGGUCCGCCUCUGGUGUGCACUGCCGUUCUUCCGCCUUUCUGGCGGGGACGUGCUCUUGGGCUUCACUGUCUGGGACACGGGUUCGCCGAGGUUACUUUGAGUAAAUUAGAGUGUUCAAAGCAGGCAUCGCCUUGAAUAUAUUAGCAUGGAAUAGCACGAUAGGACUCUGGCCUAUUUUGCUGGUCUGUAGGACCGGAGUAAUGAUUAAGAGGGACAGUCGGGGGCAUUCGUAUUUCAUUGUCAGAGGUGAAAUUCUUGGAUUUAUGAAAGACGAACUUCUGCGAAAGCAUUUGCCAAGGAUGUUUUCAUUGAUCAAGAACGAAAGUUGGGGGCUCGAAGACGAUUAGAUACCGUCGUAGUCUCAACCAUAAACGAUGCCGACCAGGGAUUGGGCAGUGUUCCUUUGAUGACCUGCCCAGCACCUUGAGAGAAAUCAGAGUUUUUGGGUUCCGGGGGGAGUAUGGUCGCAAGGCUGAAACUUAAAGG